rnacentral:rRNA from 1 species
UCUUAGUGGCGGACGGGUGAGUAACGCGUGGGUAACCUGCCUUGCACUGGGGGAUAACACUUAGAAAUAGGUGCUAAUACCGCAUAAGCGCACGGUCCUGCAUGGGACAGUGUGAAAAACUCCGGUGGUGCAAGAUGGACCCGCGUCUGAUUAGCUGGUUGGCGGGGUAAAGGCCCACCAAGGCGACGAUCAGUAGCCGGCCUGAGAGGGUGGACGGCCACAUUGGGACUGAGACACGGCCCAAACUCCUACGGGAGGCAGCAG